AUUGAACGCUGGCGGCAGGCCUAACACAUGCAAGUCGAACGAGUGGCGGACGGGUGAGUAAUGUCUGGGAAACUGCCUGAUGGAGGGGGAUCACUACUGGAAACGGUAGCUAAUACCGCAUACCAUCGGAUGUGCCCAGAUGGGAUUAGCUAGUUGGGGGGGUAAAGGCUCACCUAGGCGACGAUCCCUAGCUGGUCUGAGAGGAUGACUAGCGACACUGGAACGGAGAUACGGUCCAGACUCAGACGGUAGGGAGCAGUGGGGAAUAGUGCACAAUGGGAGCAGGCCUGAUGCAGCCCUGCCGAGUGUAUGAAGGAGGGAUUCGGGUUGGAAAGUACUUACAGCGGGGAGGCGUUACCCGAAGAAGAAGCACCGGCUAACUCCGUGCCAGCAGCCGCGGUAAUAC
rnacentral:rRNA from 1 species